rnacentral:rRNA from 1 species
UGCGCAGGCGGCCCCGCAAGUUGGGUGUGAAAUCCCUCGGCUCAACCGAGGAACUGCGCCCAAAACUGCAGGGCUUGAGGAAGGCAGAGGUGAGCGGAAACUAAUGGUGGAGCGGUGAAAUGCGUUGAUAUCAUUAGGAACACCAGUGGCGAAAGCGGCUCACUGGGCCUUUUCUGACGCUCAGGCACGAAAGCUAGGGUAGCGAACG